UACAGAGGUCUCAAGCGUUGUUCGGAUUCAUUGGGCGUAAAGGGUGCGUAGGCGGCGCGGUAAGUCGGGAUGUGAAAUCUCGGAGCUUAACUCCGAAACUGCAUUCGAUACUGCCGUGCUUGAGGACUGGAGAGGAGACUGGAAUUUACGGUGUAGCGGUGAAAUGCGUAGAUAUCGUAAGGAAGACCAGUGGCGGAAGGCGGGUCUCUGGACAGUUCCUGACGCUGAGGCACGAAGGCCAGGGGAGCAAACGGGAUUAGAACCUACCUGUCAGU
rnacentral:rRNA from 1 species